rnacentral:rRNA from 1 species
CCAAUAGCGUAUAUUAAAGUUGUUGCAGUUAAAAAGCUCGUAGUUGAAUUUCGGGAUCAAUAUAUCGGUCGUGCCUUGGUACGUACUGGUAUCAUUGGUUUCUCCUUUCUGACGAACCAUGAUGUCAUUAAUUUGGUGUUAUGGGAAGUUAGGACUGUUACUUUGAAAAAAUUAGAGUGUUUAAAGCAGGCUUUAGCUUGAAUACAUUAGCAUGGAAUAAUGAAAUAGGACGUUCGAACCUAUUUUGUUGGUUUCUAGGAUCAACGUAAUGAUUAAUAGGGAGAGUUGGGGGCAUUAGUAUUCAAUUGUCAGAGGUGAAAUUCUUGGAUUUAUUGAAGACUAACUACUGCGAAAGCAUUUGCCAAGGAUGUUUUCAUUAAUCAAGAACGAAAGUUAGGGGAUCGAAGACGAUCAGAUACCGUCGUAGUCUUAACCAUAAACUAUGCCGACUAGGGAUCGGAUGAUGUUAAUUUUUUAAUGACUCAUUCGGCGCCUUACG